CGCGGUAAGCGAGCGGUCUCUCAUUUCCGACCUCAGAUCUGACGAGAUUACCCGCUGAAUUUAAGCAUAUCAC
rnacentral:rRNA from 1 species